AGGAGGAAGCGGGCUGGGGACUUUCGGCACUCCGGGGCUGUCCCCACGACGCCUGACUCCGACGCACGACUGCACCAGGGCUUGAUAAUGAGGACGCUCGGCCGGGAUUGAGUGUGAACGUUAUAGUCCAGAAGAGAGAGACAGCGAGAGCAGGAACACAAGCAGGGGGAGUGGGAGAGUGAGAAGCAGGCUUCCCGCCGAGCAGGAAGCCCGAUGUGGGACUCGAUCCCAGGACCCUGGGAUCAUGACCUGAGCUGAAGGCAGACGCUUAACGACUGAGCCACCCAGGUGCCCAAAGACAGAUUACCACAGGAGACUUUAAAAAGGAAGAGAUGCUUGAGAUGAGUCUCAAAGGCUGAGAAAUUCGGAAAUUCGUCAGCCUUCAUUUUACUUAUAGUGAGAGGUAAGGGACAGGUUGCAUUUUAAGGUCCUGCCCCUGGCACAGUGGAACUUGCAAACCACACAUACAAGAAGAAGUUGCUGCGGCUGAGGUCGAAGAGGUUGUUGCCUGUGUUCUCCUUUAGGAUUUUGAUGGACUCCCGUCUCACAUUGAGGUCUUUCAACCAUUUGGAGUCUAUUUUUGUGUGUGGUAUAAGGAAAUGGUCCAGUUUCUUUCUUCUGCAUGUGGCUGUCCAAUUUUCCCAACACCAUUUGUUGAAGAGACUGUCUUUUUUCCAUUGGACAUUCUUUCCUGCUUUGUUGAAGAUUAGUUGACCAUAGAAUUGAGGGUCCAUUUCUGGGCUCUCUAUUCUGUUCCAUUGAUCUAUGUGCCUGUUUUUGUGCCAGUACCAUACUGUCUUGAUGAUGACAGCUUUGUAAUAGAUCUUAAAGUCCAGAAUUGUGAUGCUGCCAGCUUUGCUUUUCUUUUUCAAUGUUCCUCUAGCUAUUCGAGGUCUUUUCUGGUUCCAUACAAAUUUUAGGAUUAUUUGUUCCAUUUCUUUGAAAAAAGUGGGUGGUAUUUUGAUAGGGAUUGCAUUAAAUGUGUAGAUUGCUCUAGGUAGCAUUGACAUCUUCAAAUGACAUAUCAGAUAAAAGGCUAGUAUCCAAAAUCUAUAAAGAACUUAUCAAACUCAACAGCCAAAGAACAAAUGAUCCAAUCAAGAAAUGGGCAGAAGACAUGAACAGACAUUUUUCCAAAGAAGACAUCCAAAAGGCCAACAGACACAUGAAAAAGUGUUCAACAUCACUCAGCAUCAGGGAAAUCCAAAUCCAAACCUCAAUGAGGUACCACCUCAUGCCAGUCAAAAUGGCUAAAAUUAAAAGUCAGGAAACAACAGAUGUUGGCGGGGAUGUGGAGAAAGGGGAACCCUCCUACACUGUUGGUGGGAAUGGUAGCUGGUGCAGCCACUUUGGAAAACAGCAUGGAAGUUCCUUAGAAAGUUGAAAAUAGAGCUACCAUACAACCCAGCAAAUUGCACUACUGGGUAUUUACCCCAAAGAUACAAAUGUAGGGAUCUGAAGGGUUAUGUGCACCCCAAUGUUUAUAGCAACAAUGUCCACAAUAGCCAAACUAUGGAAAGAGCCAAGAUGUCCAUCAACAGAUGAAUGGAUAAAGAAGAUGUGGUAUAUAUAUGUACAAUGGAAUAUUAUGCAGCCAUCAAAAGGAAUGAAAUCCUGCCAUUUGCAAUGACAUGGAUGGAACUGGAGGGUAUUAUGCUGAGCGAAAUAAGUCAAUCAGAGAAAGACAUGUAUCAUAUGAUCUCACUGAUAUGAGGAAUUCUUAAUCUCAGGAAACAAACGUAGGGUUGCUGGAGUG